GUAGAUGACAAUAAAGCACCUCAUAUAAUAGCGGGAAUAUGGCUCGCGAGUUUCUACCGGCUGCCGUAAACGGCCGACUAUGGGGGAGAGCAUUCGGCAU
rnacentral:ncRNA from 1 species